CCCAAUCUAACUUUAUUAUUUUUUUAAAUACACUACCUAACAGAAUACUCCAUUCGACUGAAUGUACAGCAAUGCAAGCAACCAUAUGACCUGUCUUUGUAAUACUCAUUUGUACUUUAUAGUUAUCUGUUUACAAUAAUGUUUUAUCACUGAUUUCAUCAUUGCUUAGUUAAUCUUAAGUUAAUUUUAAGCCAGCCCGUAAUGCUAUGCAUAUAAGUGGCUUUGGCAUGCUGCUCUUACCUAUAAAUAAGUUGGGAGCUGUUCGAAACUCGAGGUACCACUGUACUGUGACGAGUCGUAAAAUCAACUUCUAUCUUACUGAGAGAAAAUAUUUUCCCAAAAAGGGAACUUAAAUUUUUUGUUUUAUUGACAAAAAAAAUUAUAAACUAAAUUACUGGGUAAUAACUUAAAACAAUAUACUUUUAAAUUUUCGUGCCACUAUACCAGUGUAGUAAUAACCUUUUUUUUCUCUCUCUCUUUUUCUUAGGUGAAUGUCACGAGUCUAACUUCUAACUCAAAGCUGCUGAAAAUGGAUUUCCAUUUAAAAAGUGAUGGCAGUCUUCACGUAGCCUUACAAGAGCCAGAAGCAAAAAUUAAUCGUGCUUUCAUCAUUGAGGCUGGAAGAAGUUGAGGCUAAUUAAAUUUAGCUGAGUAAAACCAAUUUUCUUCCUAGUUACCUAAUAAAUACUUUUGUUAUUGAA